AUUACUCUAGCAUUCUGGUUGUUGUUGUCAAUCAAUAGAACAUACAUUAUUUUUUCUGUCUUCUUCAGGAGCUUCAUCAUUCCUGAAAAUUUGGACUCCUCUUAUGAGCCAUCUGCUUGUGACACAAGUGCUGGGAGCUUCAACUGUGCACUUGAAGACGCUGUGGACACUUCCGGCCCUCUGGAGGAGCCAAAAUACAUUGUCUUUGAGAGCAUGUUGUUGGAACUGUUUUCCAAGUGCAGUGUGUGCCUCAGGCAAACAAGCAUCCAGACAGAAGUCAAAGGCACAGCACUUGAGGUUUUUACGCUCUGUCCCAACCUGCAUAAAUUCGUUUGGUGCAGUCAACCAAAAAUUGGGCAGUAUGCAGCGGGAAAUGUCCUGCUUGCAGCAGGCAUCCUAUUCUCCGGCCUGAACGCAGCCAAGUCUUUGCGGCUGCUGUCGUCCAUAAAGGUGGCUACCAUCACAGAAAGGACAUUCUUUCGCCACCAGCAGAACCUGUUGAUUCCAUCUGUGCAGAAAGUAAGGACUCAAUCGUGCGACAUCUAAUCUCCAUGGCAUUGCAACUAUUAGCUUGGUGAUGUGCAGUGUUUUCUUGAUUGUGCAAAGAGAAAUGAGAAUUCAAAAUUAUUUCAAAAAUUAUUUCCAAACCAAAUUCAGAGCAGUUAGAUGCUGUGUGUGGGUGCAAGUUUGCAUUUUUGCACCCUUGCAUUUUUUUGCAGCACUGUCAUGGCAGAAAUUGCACAUUUAUGUGUUACGAAAGUCUGUGCAUUCGGUAAACAUAUAUGGUAAGCAACUUGGGACUGAACAGAAAGUGAAAUUAGAAUGAAAUUUACAACCUCUUGCAUGGCAGUUGCAGUGUCUACUGUGUCAACAUGUGAUUACUAUAACACUCAUUUUUUUACUCACUACGAUUUUUUAAGGUUUGGAAAGAGGAGCAGGAAGGGCUCCUUUCAGCUGCUGUGGGAAGGGACAUGGUCAUAGCUGGCGAUGGCCGUUCAGACUCUCCUGGAUUUUCUGCCAAGUUUGGCACAUAUUCCAUGCUGGAUGUGACCGCUAACAAGAUCAUUCAUCUUGAGCUGGUGCAGUCAAACGAGGUUGGCGGAAGCUGCCACAUGGAGCUCGAAGGCCUUAAGCGUGGCCUCAACUACCUGCAAGGACGAAGAGUGAAAGUUUCUACUCUGAUAACAGAUAGGCAUGCACAAAUCCGAAAGUACCUCGCCAACAACCACAGUGACACGGACCACAGAUAUGAUGUGUGGCAUGUCGGAAAAGGAAUCAAGAAGAAGCUUAUAGCGGCGUCAAAACGAUUCAAGGACAGUGACAUCAUCCUUGUUUGGGUGAAAUCAAUUGUAAGCCACCUCUACUACUGCGCUUGCACCAGCAAUGGAGAUGGGUAGCUGAUUGUGGCGAAGUGGCUCUCAAUCUUGAACCACAUUUCGAAUGUGCACAGCGGACAUUCACCCAUUUUUCCAACUUGUGAGCAUGGCCCUCUGGAACGGCGCAGAUGGAUAAAGCAAGGCACACGGGCACACGACCAAGUGGCUGCAAUUGUAGCUGCUAAGAGACUGGUCACAGAUGUGAGGCAGUUGUCGACAAAGGGGCAGACAUUUCAUGCCUGCCUUAUACACUU
rnacentral:misc_RNA from 1 species